GUACUCCACCGCCUUAGAGCGAGAGAAUGCUGCAAACGAUGGCCGGAGGAAAGAGAGAGAUCGGAGAAGAGAAGGAAGGAAGACAAACGACGGCCGGAGGAGAGAGAUCGGAGGAGAGACGACGGCCGAAGGUGUGCUAGAUCGGAUGAUGCGCCGGCUCUUACACUGAUGACGGUCAAGCGGUUAGGGUUUCGAUCAACUUCCGUAGGUAACGUCCGGUGAGUUUCCGGCGAGGAUUCGGUGAACGGGCAGGCGGACAUUCCGGUGAACAGCGACUCCCGUGGAUCAGCUGCCCAGGAUCGAUGCACAGCUGGCGCAGUCACAGCAUGUUGUCGCGAAGUAUUCGGGUCUCGGUGGGCAGGGUGGUAAUCUUGGUGAUGAUAAGGAGCUUGAUCAAUUCAUGACUCAUUAUGUUCUGUUGCUUUGUUCUUUUAAAGAGCAACUGCAACAACAUGUUUGUGUUCACGCUAUGGAAACUGUUAUCGCGUGUUGGCAGAUCGAGCAGUCGUUAAAGAGCUUCACAGGUUUUGUGGCUUUGUUGGUUUGGAUUUCGGUUUGAUAUUUGUUCAUGUUGUUUGAUGAUGAUGAUGAUGAUGAUGGUUGAAGGAACGGGUGCGACAAUGUCGGAUGAUGAUGAUGAUCAAGUGGACAGGCAACGGUGAUGCAAAUUUGUUUGAUGGGAUGGGUUGUUUUUGUUUUGUUUUAUACUUUUAUGUAUGGAGAUCAUGUUUUGCACAAAUGGAACAUAAUUGUUAUCGAGUUUUGAACA